rfam:Yersinia ruckeri strain 37551 YRO1b0000005, whole genome shotgun sequence.
GCUAAUUGCUACGAUAUCAUUAUAAUGCUCCACCUUAGAUCUAAUCGUGAUGGUAAUUUCAUCGUAAAAAGGUGACAAAUCGGUGACAUCGGGUUAUUUUUG